rnacentral:rRNA from 1 species
CUUUCAACAACGGAUCUCUUGGUUCCAGCAUCGAUGAAGAACGCAGCGAAAUGCGAUAAGUAAUGUGAAUUGCAGAAUUCAGUGAAUCAUCGAAUCUUUGAACGCACAUUGCGCCCCUCGGUAUUCCGGGGGGCAUGCCUGUUCGAGCGUCAUUAACACCCCUCAAGCGUAGCUUGUACUGAGCCUU